rnacentral:rRNA from 1 species
CCAAAUUUAAGCCCAUGCAUGUCUAAGUAUAAAUCUCUUACUUUGAAACUGCGAACGGCUCAUUAUAUCAGUUAUAGUUUAUUUGAUAGUCCCUUACUACUUGGAUAACCGUAGUAAUUCUAGAGCUAAUACAUGCGUCAAUACCCUUCUGGGGUAGUAUUUAUUAGAUUGAAACCAACCCCUUCGGGGUGAUGUGGUGAUUCAUAAUAAGCUUGCGGAUCGCAUGCCUCACGGCGGCGAUGGAUCAUUCAAGUUUCUGCCCUAUCAGCUUUGGAUGGUAGGGUAUUGGCCUACCAUGGCUUUAACGGGUAACGGGAAAUUAGGGUUUGAUUCCGGAGAGGGAGCCUGAGAA